rnacentral:rRNA from 1 species
UACGAAGGGUGCAAGCGUUAAUCGGAAUUACUGGGCGUAAAGCGUGCGUAGGCGGUUUCUUAAGUCCGUUGUGAAAGCCCUGGGCUCAACCUGGGAACUGCGAUGGAUACUGAGGAGCUGGAGUACGGUAGAGGAAGGUGGAAUUCCCGGUGUAGCGGUGAAAUGCGUAGAGAUCGGGAGGAACAUCAGUGGCGAAGGCGACUUCCUGGCCUGUUCUUGACGCUGAGGCGCGAAAGCUAGGGUAGCAAACGGG